GCCAGGCAUGGUGGCGCAUGCCUGUAAUCCCAGGGGCUUGGGAUGCUGAGGCAGGAGGAUUGCUAGUUCAAAGCCAGCCUCAGCAAAAGCAUGGCUCUAAGCAACUCAGUGAGACCCUGUCUCUA
rnacentral:sRNA from 1 species